UGCGCCGACGUGGGCGGUUCGCUGCCCGCGACGUUGUGAGAAGUCCACUGAACCUUAUCAUUUAGAGGAAGGAGAAGUCGUAACAAGGUUUUCCGUAGGUGAACCUGCGGAAGGAUCAUUG
rnacentral:rRNA from 1 species